rnacentral:rRNA from 1 species
GUCUACGGCCAUGCUACCCUGAACAAGCCCAAUCCCAUCUGGUCUGGGAAGCUAAGCAGGGUCGGGACUGGUUAGUACUUGGAUGGGAGACCACUCAGGAAGACCAGGUGGUGUAGGAG